rnacentral:rRNA from 1 species
UACAGAGGGGGCAAGCGUUGUUCGGAAUUACUGGGCGUAAAGGGCGCGUAGGCGGCCUGUUAAGUCGAACGUGAAAUCCCCGGGCUCAACCCGGGAACUGCGUCCGAUACUGGCAGGCUUGAAUCCGGGAGAGGGAUGCGGAAUUCCAGGUGUAGCGGUGAAAUGCGUAGAUAUCCGGAGGAACACCGGUGGCGAAGGCGGCUUCCUGGACCGGCAUUGACGCUGAGUGAGCGAAAGCGUGGGGAGCAAACAGG